UUCAAAAAAAAAAAAAAAAACUUGCAGAAAGUCUCAUUGUCUUUGAUGGAUCAUCUGAGUUCAACUUCAACUUCUCUUCCACAGGUAGGCUAAAGAACUCGAUCUAUGGCCACUUCUAACAUUUUUUUCUACUGCCUCCAAAGACACCCCAUGAUUGGUCACCUAGUUAUAUGCCAAAGAAAAAAAAUGACAAAUUAACUUUAUGUGUGGAUGAGAGAGUAGAAGUGAGUGAGUUCUAUAUGGGGUGUCUUUCGAGGCAGUAGAAAAAAUGUUAGAAGUGCCUACUGAGUUCUUUAGCCUACCUGUGGCAGAGAAGUUGAAGUUGUAUACUCAGAUCCAUCAAAGACAAUGAGACUUUCUACAAGUUUUAAUGCGAACAAGGUUCACAAUUAGAGAUACUAUCUUGGACUUCAUUGUUGUCCUUUGGACAAAUAUGUGCCUGAGUGGCCUUCCAAUCCCACUGAUUUCAAGCCAGAAUCAGACCGACCCCGGCUAUCUGAAUACUCUGCUCGUGCUGAUGUUCCUGUCAUUGACUUGGGUUUAGAGGAUAGAACCCUAGUUUUCAAACUAAUUGCAGAGGCCUGCAAAUCCUAUGGCUUUUUUCGGGGUGUCUUUGGAGGCAGUAGAAAAAAUGUUAGAAGUGGCCACAGAUCGAGUUCUUUAGCCUACCUGUGGAAAAGAAGUUGAAGUUGUACUCAGAUGACCCAUCAAAGACACUGAGACUUUCUACAAUUGGAGACUAUCUUAGAAUUCAUUGUUAUCCUACGGACAAAUAUGUGCCUGAUUGGCCUUCCAAUUUCCCUGAUUUCAAGAUUGUUCAUACACCAAAGAGAAGAAAAUCAUGAGCAUAGAAAGAUUGCUAUCACUCUAGCAGCAAUUAUAGCAUCUUUAGAUUCAAUUAAGCUUAGAAGUCUUGUUUUGCUCUCUAUCAUAUGUCAAAGGAAUUGUAGAUUUUUGGUUAUGUUUGUAACAUUGAUCAUUCAUGCACACCAACAGAAAAGCUAUUGUUGUAAAUAAAUUAUUA